GGUUCCAUUGUGUAGCGGUUAGCACGUAUGCUUUACACGCAAAAGGUCCUGAGUUCCCUCCCCAGUGGACCCA
rnacentral:tRNA from 1 species